rnacentral:lncRNA from 1 species
GCCCAGAUCCCCAUAAGUCAGCGAUGAGGGGGGCCGAGCAGGGGCUGCCCGUUAGACGGCCGCAGAGUCCCAGCCCCCAGCCCUGCUCACCUUUCUUACCUCUCUGGCCCCGUCGGCAUUUGAGCCUGGGACCCCAGACGAAAGGAUACGCUUCCUUUUAGAACCCCUGCCAAUCUGAGGACGGGGCCACCCCACAGACGCCGUGGCUCAGCAAGCAGACCAAUGGCCGAGGAGUCUGGCAAGGGGCGCUUGGCAGAUGAGAGUGGAGGUUGUAAAUCACCCUCCAUGCAAUGGUUCAUCAUAAAGGAUAUGGAGCAAAAUUAGAGGAGGCACGAGAAGGAAAGCCGGUGAUGAACAAGUGGGAUCUGCAGAGAAGGAGGAGUAGGUGAUUGUGGCUG